AUGGAUUUUCAGGCCCAAAUGUUCAGCUUGCUGCUACUCAGUGUCACAGUUUUACUUGUUCUUGGAGAAAUUGUGCUCACCCAGUCUCCAGCAUCCAUGGCUGUUUCUCAAGGAGAGAGAGUCACCAUCAGUUGCAGAGCCAGUGAAAGUAUUAGUUACAUGCACUGGUACCAACAGAAGUCAGGAGCUUCCCCUAAGCUGCUGGUUUAUGACAUAUCAAACCUGGCUUCUGGAGUCCCAGCUCGCUUCAGUGGCAGUGGGUCUGGGACCUCUUUCUCUCUCACCAUCAAUGGCAUGGAGUCUGAAGACGCUGCAAUCUAUUUCUGUCAACAGUGGAAUAUCCCUCCCACAGUGAUACAGACUGGAACAAAAACCCCUUCAACACAGAGGGCCAGCUGCUCCUUUCAGAUAACGGGCAUAGUCAAGAGUGACAUUGAUUUGUGA